rnacentral:rRNA from 1 species
UAUUGCACAAUGGGGGGAACCCUGCUGCAGCGACGCCGCGUGAGUGAAGCAGUAUUUCGGUAUGUAAAGCUCUAUCAGCAGGGAAGAAAAUGACGGUACCUGAUUAAGAAGCCUCGGCUAACCACGUGCCAGCAGCCGCGGUAAUACGUAGGGGGCAAGCGUUAUCCGGAUUUACUGGGUGUAAAGGGAGCGUAGACGGCAGCACAAGUCUGGAGUGAAAGGCCGGGGCUUAACCCCGGAACUGCUUUGGAAACUGUGCAGCUAGAGUGCAGGAGAGGGAAGUGGAAUUCCUAGUGUAGCGGUGAAAUGCGUAGAUAUUAGGGGGAACACCAGUGGCGAAGGCGGCUUACUGGACUGUAACUGACGUUGAGGCUCGAAAGCGUGGGGAGCAAACAGG